rnacentral:rRNA from 1 species
AGUGAACGCUGGCGGUAGGCCUAACACAUGCAAGUCGAACGGCAGCCCAGGCGAGCUUGCUCCCCGGGUGGCGAGUGGCGGCCGGGCGAGGACUACAUCGGCACCCACUCUGUCGCGGGGGCCAACGUAGGGAAACUUACGCUAAUACCCCAUACGCCCUACGGGCGAAACCAGGCGACCUCCGGGCCUUGCGCCAGCGCCUCCGCCGAUGUCGGAUUAGCUAGUUGGCGGGGUAAAGGCCCACCAAGGCGACGAUCCGUAGCUGGUCUGAGAGGAUGAUCAGCCACACUGGAACUGAGACACGGGCCAGACUCCUACGGGAGGCAGCAGUGGGGAAUAUUGGACAAUGGGCGCAAGCCUGAUCCAGCCAUACCGCGUGGGUGAAGAAGGCCUUCGGGUUGUAAAGCCCUUUUGUUGGGAAAGAAAUCCAGCUGGCUAAUACCCGGUUGGGAUGACGGUACCCAAAGAAUAAGCACCGGCUAACUUCGUGCCAGCCGCCGCCGUAA